UAACCUAUAUACCAAAUAGUAAAGGACUGGCUACCAAGCUCAUAUUAUCAGUAUAGUCACAGUAUUGGCGUUGUUAUUACUGUCGUCCAAAGUCCCUCAUAAAACUGGGUUCACUUUGUCUACAUAUGGCUCUAGUUAGGGCCAAGGAAUGUGAUUGAUAGCCAUGCACUCUAUGGGCACGUGCAUUUGUUGACAACAAUUGUCGACGCUUUGGCAAAUAUUUUUGUGAGGCACAGUGCUCCUUUCAGGGCAGUUAGAAGCAAACCAAAACGUCACUAUUUGGCGCAUUUGGCCUACCUGCAUCAGCUGUGCUGUUGUUUAAGAAACACUCCGCCACUGUAGAGGGCAGUAGUGGUCAACAGUCAUAGAAACAAAGCCAGCGGAGUCGCGAAAAACAUUAGAGCAGGAUGCAGUUUUAGCGGAGUCGACUAAAUAUAACUUAUUUAUCAGGGUUAAACAUGAAAUUGUAUUGUCUGUCUGGUCAUCCCACAUUGCCUUGCAAUGUCCUCAAGUUUAAAUCCACCACUAUCAUGUUGGACUGUGGGCUGGACACCACCUCUGUCCUCAACUUCCUGCCCCUUCCUCUCGUGCACAGCCCGAGACUCUCCAAGUUACCUAGUUGGGUCUCUAAGGAUGGAACAAUAAACUUGGAGAAGGAGCUGAAGGAGUGUGCAGGAAGAGUGUUUGUGGAUUCACAGCCAGAGUUCUGUCUCCCUGAGAGAGAACUGCUGGAUCUGUCUACCAUUGAUGUCAUCCUGAUCUCCAACUACCACUGUAUGAUGGCCCUACCAUACAUCACUGAACACACAGGCUUCACUGGGACAGUGUAUGCUACAGAACCCACCCUGCAGAUUGGCAGACUGUUGAUGGAGGAACUGGUAAAGUUCAUGGAGAGAGUUCCCAAAGCUCAGUCUGCCACCUGCUGGAAAAAUAAGGAAAUACAAAGGAUGCUCCCUGGGCCGCUGAAGGAUGCAGUAGAUGUGUGGACGUGGAAACGAAGCUACAGCAUGCAGGAGGUCAACUCGGCCCUCAGCAAAGUGCAGCUUGUGGGUUACUCGCAGAAAGUGGAGCUGUUUGGAGCUGUACAGGUCUCCCCGCUAAGCUCUGGUUAUUCAUUAGGUAGCUCCAACUGGGUCAUCCAGUCUCAUCAUGAGAAAGUCGCCUAUGUGUCGGGUUCGUCCCUCCUCACCACACAUCCGCAGCCGAUGGACCAAAGCUCCCUUAAGAACAGCGAUGUUCUGAUUCUGACAGGACUCACCCAGAUGCCGACAGCCAACCCAGACGGCAUGCUGGGAGAAUUCUGCAGCAACCUUGCCAUGACGAUUCGAGCAGGAGGCAAUGUACUAGUGCCGUGCUACUCGUCCGGGGUGAUAUAUGACCUGCUGGAGUGUCUGUACCAGUUCAUCGAGAGCGCCAACCUGGGGACCACGCCCUUCUACUUCAUCUCGCCGGUCGCCAACAGCUCGCUGGAGUUCUCUCAGAUCUUCGCUGAGUGGCUUUGCCACAACAAGCAAUCAAAGGUUUAUCUUCCAGAGCCUCCAUUCCCUCAUGCCGAGUUGAUCCAAACCAACAAGCUGAAGCACUACCCCAGUAUCCACGGAGACUUCAGCAGUGAGUUCCGUCAGCCGUGCGUGGUGUUCACCGGUCACCCCUCUCUGCGCUUCGGCGACGUGGUUCACUUCAUGGAGCUGUGGGGCAAAUCUGGCCUCAACACCAUCAUCUUUACUGAGCCAGACUUUUCUUACCUGGAUGCUUUGGCUCCCUACCAGCCGCUGGCCAUGAAGUGUGUUUACUGUCCCAUUGACACGCGGCUCAACUUCCACCAAGUCUCAAAGCUGCUCAAGGAAGUCCAGCCCCUCCAUGUGGUGUGUCCGGAGCAGUACACCCAGCCUCCCCUGACCCAGUCUCACCGCUCUGAUCUGAUGCUGGAGCUGCAGCCCCCUCCCAUGCCCUACAGACGCUGCUCUGUUCUCAACUUGCCCUUCAGGCGCCGCUAUGAGCGGGUCUACAUACUGCCUGAGCUGGCCAACUCCCUGGUGCCCUCUGAGAUUAAACCUGGCGUUUCCAUGGCAACUGUGUCUGCAGUGCUGCACUCCAAGGACAACAAACACACACUACAGUCGGUGCCCAAACCCCCUCCAGUGCCUCCCAGCAAGAAGAGGAAACGGGUAAUGGAGGAGCCUCCAGUAGUGCUGGCCCCGAAACCCCUGCUGAGUGGAGCUGUGCCUCUGGAAGCUUUCCUGGCCACAUUGCAAAAGCACGGUAUUACGGAGGUGAAAGUGGAGGAGACUGCGGACGGACACAUUCUGCACCUGCAGGCAGAGGACACACUGAUUCAGCUGGAGGAGGACGGGACACACAUCGUCUGUGACAACAACGAGCCGCUGCGUACCACGCUGCGAGACCUGGUGCUGCGCUUCCUGCAGAAACUCUGACCUGAAUCCUUCAUCGUUUGUUUGUUUUUUAAACAGGAUUUCUGCCUCAUUGGACUGUGGCGAGCAGAAAAAAGAUGAUGGUGAGGAGGAGGACACGACGAAGAGCCGUGAGCUGGACUGUCCCCACUUCAUUAACUGCAGUUCCAGUAGUUUAACUGGAAACGGUAAUAUGGUGAAACAUACAUGAAAACACAAAGAUCAUCAGCUGGUGUUUUCCAAAGGAGGAAUUUGAUCAACCCAUCAGCUGAAGAUGUUGCAAGUUUCCAGAAUUGAUGUUUUACCCACAAGCUCUGAAUUUAAAAAG